AGGGUUCGAUCAUGGCUCAGAACGUACGCUGGCGGCACGCCUUAUACAUGCAAGUCGAACGCAGUAGCAAUACUGAGUGGCAAACGGGUGAGUAUAAUGUGGGUAUCUGCCUUUUGGUUUGGAAUAACAUGAGGAAACUUAUGCUAAUACCGGAUAAGCCUUUACGGGGAAAGUUUUAUACGCCGAAAGAUGAGCCCGCACUUGAUUAGUUUGUUGGUGAGGUAAUGGCUCACCAAGACAAUUAUCAAUAGCUGGUCUGAGAGGACGAUCAGCCACAUUGGGACUGAGACACGGCCCAGACUCCUACGGGAGGCAGCAGUAAGGAAUCUUGCACAAUGGGGGAAACCCUGAUGCAGCGAUGCCGCGUGAGUGAAGAAGGCCCUUGGGUUGUAAAACUCUUUCGUCGGGGAAGAAAAUGACUGUACCCGAAUAAGAAGGUCCGGCUAACUUCGUGCCAGCCGCCGCGGUAAU
rnacentral:rRNA from 1 species